rnacentral:rRNA from 1 species
UACGAAGGGUGCAAGCGUUAAUCGGAAUUACUGGGCGUAAAGCGUGCGUAGGCGGUUUGUUAAGUCUGCUGUGAAAUCCCCGGGCUUAACCUGGGAACUGCAUUGGUGACUGGCAGGCUUUGAGUGUGGCAGAGGGAGGUAGAAUUCCACGUGUAGCAGUGAAAUGCGUAGAGAUGUGGAGGAACACCGGUGGCGAAGGCGGUUCUCUGGGCAUUACCUGACGCUGAGGAGCGAAAGUGUGGGGAGCGAACAGG